rnacentral:rRNA from 1 species
GAGUGAGCGGGAAGAGCUCAAAUUUGAAAGCUGGCGCCUUCGGCGUCCGCGUUGUAAUCUCGAGAAGUGUUUUCCGUGCUGGACCAUGUACAAGUUCCUUGGAAUAGGACGUCAUAGAGGGUGAAAAUCCCGUCCUUGACAUGGACGCCCAGUGCUUUGUGAUACGCUCUCCACGAGUCGAGUUGUUUGGGAAUGCAGCUCAAAAUGGGUGGUAAAUUCCAUCUAAAGCUAAAUAUUGGGGAGAGACCGAUAGCGAACAAGUACCGUGAGGGAAAGAUGAAAAGCACUUUGGAAAGAGAGUUAAACAGUACGUGAAAUUGUCGAAAGGGAAGCGCUUGAAGUUAGACAUGCCUGCUGGAAUUCAGCCUUGCUUUUUGCUUGGUGUAUUUUCCGGUGAGCAGGCCAGCAUCAGUUUUGUCUGUCGGAUAAGGGUAGGAGGAACGUAGCCCCCCUCGGGGGGUGUUAUAGCCUCUUACUGGAUACGGCGGAUGGGACUGAGGACCGCAGUGUGCCUUUAUGGCGGGCCUUCGGGCACCUUCACACUUAGGAUGCUGGCGUAAUGGCUUUAAGCGACCCGU